rnacentral:rRNA from 1 species
UACGUAGGGCGCAAGCGUUGUCCGGAAUUAUUGGGCGUAAAGAGCUCGUAGGCGGCCUGUUGCGUCCGCUGUGAAAUCCCGGGGCUCAACCCCGGGCGUGCAGUGGAUACGGGCUGGCUGGAGGCAGGCAGGGGAGAACGGAAUUCCUGGUGUAGCGGUGAAAUGCGUAGAUAUCAGGAGGAACACCUGUGGCGAAAGCGGCGCACUGGACCAUAACUGACGCUGAGGCGCGAAAGCUAGGGGAGCAAACAGG